rnacentral:rRNA from 1 species
GAUGAACGCUGACAGAAUGCUUAACACAUGCAAGUCGACUCGAGUCUUCGGACUUGGGUGGCGCACGGGUGAGUAACGCGUAAAGAACUUGCCUCUUAGACCGGGACAACAUCUGGAAACGGAUGCUAAUACCGGAUAUUAUGGUUUUUUCGCAUGGAGGAAUCAUGAAAGCUAGAUGCGCUAAGAGAGAGCUUUGCGUCCCAUUAGCUGGUUGGUGAGGUAACGGCCCACCAAGGCAAUGAUGGGUAGCCGGCCUGAGAGGGUGAACGGCCACAAGGGGACUGAGACACGGCCCUUACUCCUACGGGAGGCAGCAGUGGGGAAUAUUGGACAAUGGACCGCAAGUCUGAUCCAGCAAUUCUGUGUGCACGAUGACGUUUUUCGGAAUGUAAAGUGCUUUCAUCCGGGAAGAAGUCAGUGACGGUACCGACAGAAGAAGCGACGGCUAAUACGUGCCAGCAGCCGCGGUAUACGUAUGUCGCAAUCGUUAUCUGGGAUUUAUUGGGGCGUAAAGCGCGUCUAGGCGGGAAGGAUAGUCUGAUGUGAAAUGCGGAGCUGUGCUCCGUAUGGGGUUGGGACUGGUUACUAGAGUAGGUGAUGUUGGCGGAAUGUAUAGUGAUGUGUGUAGAUCUUUAUAUGUGUAGGAUGGCCGAUGUGUGAACCCUGCUAUGGUAUGUGUGCGGUUUUGAGGUGCGAUGGAUGUGAUCUAACGUGAUAUAUGCCUGGUGGUCAGUGGUGAGUUACUGUGGAUGUUUAUGCUAUGAUGACGUGCUCUUCCGGGGUGAAAAGAAACACUGAAUUGUGUGACUUGUGGAGUGCUGCCUGCGUGUGUGUUCUUUUUUUUUUGUUUUGUGUGUGUUUUAGUUGUAGUGCUGUCUGGAUACUGAUGUG